rnacentral:rRNA from 1 species
AGAGUUUGAUCAUGGCUCAGGACGAAAGCUGGCGGCAUGCCUAACACAUGCAAGUCGAACGAAAAGUAGCAAUAUUUUUAGUGGCGAACGGGUGAGUAACACUUGAGCAACCUACCUUAUACAUCGGGAUAACGCCUAGAAAUGGGUGCUAAUACCGAAUAAGACCACAGUAUGACAUCAUACAGGGGUCAAAGUUCAGGCGGUAUAAGAUGGGCUCGAGUCCAAUUAGCUAGAUGGUGAGAUAACAGCCCACCAUGGCGACGAUUGGUAGCCGGCCUGAGAGGGUGAUCGGCCACACUGGAACUGAGACACGGUCCAGACUCCUACGGGAGGCAGCAGUGGGGAAUAUUGGGCAAUGGGCGAAAGCCUUACCCAGCAAUGCCGCGUGUGUGAAGAAGGUCUUCGGAUUGUAAAGCACUAUAUUGGGGAAGAACACAAUGACGGUACCCAAGAGAAAAAGCCCCGGCUAACUAUGUGCCAGCAGCCGCGGUAAUACAUAGGGGGCUAGCUUUGUCCGGAAUUACUGGGCGUAAAGGGUGCGCAGGUGGUAGUGUGUGUUGGAAGUGUAAUCCCUCGGGCUUAACUCAGGGGCUGCUUCCAAAACUACAUUACUUGAGUAUCGGAGAGGAAAACGGAAUUCCUAGUGUAGCGGUGAAAUGCAUAGAUAUUAGGAGGAACACCAGAGGCGAAGGCGGUCUUCUGGACGAUAACUGACACUGAGGCACGAAAGCGUGGGGAGCGACUGGGAUUAGAUACCCCAUUAGUCCACGCUGUAAAUGAUGGGUACUUGACGUUGGGAGUAUCAACUCUCCCAGUGUCGUAGCUAACGCAUUAAGUACCCCGCCUGGGGGGUACGAUCGCAAGGUUGAAACUCAAAUGAAUUGACGG